rnacentral:rRNA from 1 species
GACGAACGCUGGCGGCGGGCUUAACACAUGCAAGUCGAACGGAAACGCCCUGCUUUUGUGGGGUGCUCGAGUGGCGAACGGGUGAGUGACACGUGAGUAACCUGCCCUUGUCUUUCGGAUAACAUCAGGAAACUGGGGCUACUACCGUAUCGCAGCUGAUCUUGGAGGGUGGGGGUUGGAUAUUUUCGGCGGUUGGGGCUGGACGGGCGGCUUACGAACUUGCUGGUGGGGUAGGUGCAGACCAAGGCUUUGGCGGGUAGCCGGCCGGGGAGGGGGAACGGCCACAUUGGGACUGCGAGAGGGACCAGACUCGUACGGGAGGCAGCAGUGGGGAAUAUUGCACAAUGGGCGGAAGCCUGAUGCAGCAACGCCGCGUGCGGGAUGACGGCCUUCGGGGUGUAAACCGCUGUCGCCUGUGACGAAGCGUGAGUGACGGUACUGGGUAAAGAAGCACCGGCUAACUACGUG